GCCUAUGGAGAGGUCUGGUCAAGACUUUGCUUCUGAGGAAUGAGUUACCCCUUCUGGUGACUAGAUACCUUUUCCCUCACUGAUUCCCAACUGAAGGGGCAGUUUGAGAAGACACCAAGCAGCUGACAAGAUCACCUCACAGCUCCUGGUGCCCUGGGUCUGAUCUGUGCCCAUGGACCAAGACCAGGGCCAUCCAAGCCUGAGUCUCUCAGGGGCCCAUGGCUGCCAAGGCUUAGGUUCCCCAACUCGAGAAAGGAGGAAAAUGGAAUACAAAAAUAGCCAUUAUACAGUGUCAAGAAGCACAAGGUCAAGGAGACCAACCCAUCCUGAUGUGGUUGAUAAGAAUCUGUACAGUGACUAGGAAUAGAAGAACAAAAAGUAUCAAACCAGUCCAGCUUCUCAGAACUGAGAGACUGACUGGUCUUCAGAAGGAACCUUCUGCCUCCUCAAGAUUCCAGCCUCCUGGGACCCCUCCCCUGACCAGAAGAAAGAUUCCACCUGGGCCUCUUCCUUUAGUGCCAGCCUCUGUCACUGUAACUACCAAUCAUUAGUUUUGUUCUUUUUCCCUGUUAUCCCCAAAUUACUGUAAUUUAAAAGUUGAUUACGUUAAAUAAUCAAAUUGGGGAGACUAGCUCACCAAAAUGAUCAUUGGGGGAAUGUAUAAUUGAAAAUCUGCUACCCUAAAAAAGAACUACAUUUCCGGGAGCCCACCAACUUCCUUUCAUUAUGUACUUCCUAUAGACAGAUGAUUAAGACAGUGGGUGUUCCAGGUCUCCCUCUUUGACCUAAAGGGAGCAUGGUGGCAGUCGUAAGAGCAGGGAUUUUAUUUUGGGCUAAUCAGCCAUGGGCAUGUGGUUUUUAUUUUUGUAUUUCUCUUAUUCCUUUACUUCUAAUGAUCAUUAAUAAAUCUCCUAAAAUAUAAUAUUUUUAUUAUUGC
rnacentral:lncRNA from 1 species